UACGGAGGGGGCUAGCGUUGUUCGGAAUUACUGGGCGUAAAGCGCGCGUAGGCAGACCUGCAAGUCGGGGGUGAAAGCCCGAGGCUCAACUGGGGAGGGUCACUCGAUACUGAUCGACUUGAAGGCAGGAGAGGGAAGCGGAGUUCCCGGUGUAGUGGUGAAAUGCGUAGAUAUCGGGAGGAACACCAGUGGCGAAGGCGGCUUCCUGGCCUGUUCUUGACGCUGAGGCGCGAAAGCUAGGGGAGCAAACGGG
rnacentral:rRNA from 1 species